rnacentral:rRNA from 1 species
CACAUGCAAGUCGAGCGCCCCGCAUGGGGAGCGGCUCACGGGUGAGUAACGCGUGGGAAUCUACCCUUUACUACUGAAUAGCGCGUGGAAACUUGUGCUAAUACCGUAAGUGUCCUUCGGGAGAAAGAUUUAUCGGUAACGGAUGAGCCCGCGUUGGAUUAUCUAGUUGGUGGGGUAAAGGCCUACCAAGGCGACGAUCCAUAGCUGGUCUGAGAGGAUGAUCAGCCACAUUGGGACUGAGACACGGCCCAAACUCCUACGGGAGGCAGCAGUGGGGAAUAUUGGACAAUGGGCGCAAGCCUGAUCCAGCCAUGCCGCGUGAGUGAUGAAGGCCCUAGGGUUGUAAAGCUCUUUCACCGGAGAAGAUAAUGACGGUAUCCGGAGAAAAAGCCCCGGCUAACUUCGUGCCAGCACCCGCGGUAAUACGAAGGGGGCUAGCGUUGUUCGGAAUUACUGGGCGUAAAGCGCACGUACGCGGAUCCAUCAGUCUGGGGUGAAAUCCCACGGCUCAACCCUGGAACUGCCUUUGAUACUGUCGAUCUGGAGUAUGGAAUAGGUGAGUGGAAUUCCCAGUGUAGAGGUGAAAUUCCUAUAUAUUCUGAGGAACACCAGUGGCGAAGGCGGCUCAGUGGUCCAUUACUGACGCUUAAGUGCCAAAGCGUGGGGAGCAAACACGAUUAGAUACCCUGAUACUCCACGCCGUAAACGAUGAAUGUUAGCCGUCGGGCAGUAUACUGUUCGGUGGCGCUACUCAGGCAUUACACAUUCCGCCUGAUGAGUACUGUCGCUAGAUUAAAACUCACAGGAAUUGACGGGGGCUCGCACAAUCGGUGGAGCAUGUGGUUUAAUUCGAAGCAACGCGCAGACUCUUACCAGCUCUUGACAUCCUGUGUUACCCAGAGAAAUUUGGGGUCCACUUCGGUGGCGCAGAGACAGGUGCUGCAUGGCUGUCGUCAGCUCGUGUCCGGAGAAGUUGGGUUAAGUCCCGCAACGAGCACAGACCUCGGCCUUAGUUGUCAGCAUUUAGUUGGUCACUCUAAGGGGACUGCCGGUGAUAAGCCGACAAGAAAGUGGGGAUUACGUCAAGUCCUCAGUGCCCUUACCCGCUGGGCUACGCACGUGCUACACUGGUGG